rnacentral:lncRNA from 1 species
CUCCCAGAAUUCUUUGGCCCAACCCCCAAGUCCUCCUUUCUCCCAGAAUCCUGUCCCUUAAUUCUCCCACAAUUCCUUGCUUUUCCUAUAAUUCUGUUCUCACCUUCCUCCCAGAAUCCCCUGCUCUGACCAGCUAUCAUGACCCACAAAACCUUUCUCCCAGAAUUCUCUGGUCACUCGUGCCUCUCCCAGAAACCAGUUCACU